GAAAAACCAAAUACACGACGGUGAUUUACCGUCGUCUUUUUGCUUUUUUGUAGUAGUGUCUAAUCGGCAGAGAAGAGACAAGUCUCAUUCUCCAAAACAACCUCAUUGUAGCCCUGAAUCUCUUGGAGCGAAAUAGACUUCUUGUUAGGUUUAGAAUUGGAAUUGAAAUGGGAGCCCAUAAGCACUUCCACUGAACCACUUUUGCCUUCGGUGUUGAUGUGAACUUGUUGGCGAUAUUGCGGUUGGUUUCUCGGAGGAUGAGGGGCAUGGGUUUUGUGACGAUUGACUCGAUUAGGAAUUGAUUGCUGGGUUGAAGAUUAAGAAUAGAUUUUAAGAAUAGAGAGUUUGCUUGGGCAUUUUUUUAAUUUUUUUAAUUAUAUAUUUUUUUGUUUGAUUGACUAAUUAUUUAUUUUACUUGAAAUUACAAGUUUAUGCUUACAUCAACACUCCCUUCUAUAUGGUUUACUGAUUUCACACCUAGUAACUCUCUAAGACAGCAAAACCUUUCCCUUGGCAAUGCCUUCGUGAA
rnacentral:lncRNA from 1 species